rnacentral:tRNA from 1 species
AAGCCCCGGCACCUUUAAGGGGUGCCUCUUCGAACUUGCAUUUCGACGUGUCUCCACCACGGGG